GCUGCGUGGCACGGACAAAAAUUAGAAAAAGAAAAGUCAGGAAGUCAGUGUGUCACAUCGAUGGCUCGCUGAGCACUGCAGGUUUGGUGUCACCCGCUGUCCUUACGGGUCCUGGGCUCAUUUUGCCACUAGUUCCCGCAGUAAAGCACAGAGGCCAGAGGUAGGCCUUUCUCCCCAUGCUCCUUCUUUGUCAGGAACGUGGGGAGCAGGGAUUUAUUCAUUUGGUGAAAUCCCAUUGGGCCUAACCCACAAGUAUAACAUUCAGUGGGCCUGGCAUGCCUGAGACACACAAAGCUACCCUCUGACUCUUUUCAGCCCACUUCAAACAGAGCAAGACCUCUGUCUGUGCUGAUGUCACUGCCUGCCGCCCUUCUCCACACAAGGAACUGGUCUUGCGCCAGCACCUCCGGAGUCCCCGCCACCCAGCUCUGACCAAAGCGUGGGCCCCUCCCUCCAAACAAGUCUCCCCAGAGCCGACGGCCACGUGCAGUGAUGCUAACACAGGCCAGCCAUGCUGCACCCUUCGUACCUGAAGAGGGUAUGAAGCAGAGAGCUCAUUGCUCCCUGGGAAUGUCCCGCCAGCAUGGAGCUCUCCACAGCCCCGAGAUGCAACGGGAAGUAGAAACCAAGCGACAACUGUAUGGCAUGCAGUCACAUGUGGAAGGAAAAGUAGUGUGUGUGUGUGUGUGUGUGUGUGUGUGUGAGUGUGUGUACACGUGUUUAUGGGAGGCCAGGUCCUCUGGGACUAGCCACAGAUGCAGAGCCAAGGUCUGGUCAGAGGGAGAAUUUUCACCCUCCAAAGCUUUGCUUCUUUCAAAUUCUGGACCAUGUGCAUGUGUGACAUAGUGAAAAUAAAUACA